CCUACGGGGAGCAGCAGUGAGGAAUAUUGGUCAAUGGGCGCGAGCCUGAACCAGCCAAGUAGCGUGAAGGAUGACUGCCCUACGGGUUGUAAACUUCUUUUAUAAAGGAAUAAAGUGAGGCACGUGUGCCUUUUUGUAUGUACUUUAUGAAUAAGGAUCGGCUAACUCCGUGCCAGCAGCCGCGGUAAUACGGAGGAUCCGAGCGUUAUCCGGAUUUAUUGGGUUUAAAGGGAGCGUAGAUGGGUUGUUAAGUCAGUUGUGAAAGUUUGCGGCUCAACCGUAAAAUUGCAAUUGAUACUGGCAGCCUUGAGUACAGUUGAGGUAGGCGGAAUUCGUGGUGUAGCGGUGAAAUGCUUAGAUAUCACGAAGAACUCCGAUUGCGCAGGCAGCUUGCUAAUCCGCAUCUGACGCUGAUGCACGAAAGCGUGGGUAGCGAACAGGAUUAGAUACCCUAGUAGUC
rnacentral:rRNA from 1 species